GGAGUGGUGGCCGAGAGGCUGAAGGCGACGGUUUGCUAAACCGUUAUAGGGGCGAAAUCCCCUAUCGAGGGUUCGAAUCCCUCCCACUCCG
rnacentral:tRNA from 1 species